rnacentral:lncRNA from 1 species
AUGUGGCUUGGUUCCUUUCUGUUUAACGCGGUACAAAACGAACUACAUAUAUGUGCUAGUGGAAAGAUCGGGUGUGCUCGUGUUUGCGAGAAUACUAAAUGUAUUAAACAUUGUGGCAACAUUAACAUAUUAAAUCAAUACGAAUCCUUCAAUGUGGCAAUAGUAUGUGCAUCGUCACAUAAAAAAUAAGUUUUAUAUUGAUAUCAAUCGAUACAGGCUGCCUCAUCCAGAGUCGAUUCGGAAUAAUCCGAUCAACAGAGAGGAACUUAGUUUUUUGGGAUAUUCAAAAACCGCGUGUGAGCAUCAUGGAGGACACACUUACACUUAGAAUUUUAAUCUCCUGAAGUUUCCGAUACUUAUACUGAUCCAUACUGACAUGCCUGCCUCAUUUUUCGGAUGUGAAUAAAACCUAAUUAGAAUAAGUUAAUGAAAUGGUAAAAUGAGAAUGCCAACGAAAUUUCAUGUGCAGAGUGACCUCAUUGAUUAUUACAAGACAAAUCAUGGUAUAAAAGCGACAGCAUUGAGCAAAACAGCUGCACCUCACUCAAUGUAUGAACCAUGGAAAAUCGGUGAGUGAAUUCUAGUGGUCAUUUUAAAAAAUAUUAAUGGGUCAUGAAUGCAUAUUUGACAAAAUUAUUGAUUUUUCAAUGGUAUUACUAUGUCUGCUUAUAGCCCACUUCCCCUCUUGCAAUUUUUCAUGCAUUUAAAAUGUUUUUAUUGCCCCUUAUCUCUAAAAACGGCGAGUUAAGAGCAAUUGAUACCCUUACAGCUUAUAAAACGUCCAUUUUUCAGUGUAGAAGUCGUCGAAUUAAUAUCAAUCGCUACAGUCUAAUCGACAGUGUUCGGUCACGCCAGAUUGAGAAUCCUGAUAGUUUGUUUAAAAAUUAAUCCUUCCAUUUCAUUCUCUUUCUAGUAUCUGCUGUUCACUGGAACUCUAAUAUUUUCCACACAAUUUGACAGUUUUUUUAAGCAUAAAAGUCUUAAGUCACCCCGUCUUCACUAAUUUUUAGAAUGAUUUUACAAAAAGGUGUUAAUUUUUAGCUUACAAUUAGCUGAAUUUCUCCGAAUCCAACGAGCUGGAACAUCACCAGGUAUUUUUUCGCUUUUAUCGUAAGUCCUUUUACGAGAAGAUCUUAUUGGAUUAGAACAAAUAAUAUUAAAUUCCUAACGUGGACACAUUUACACAAAAGCAGUCUAGAGUUUGGAGGCAAAGCAUUAUUUGUUUUAUAUUUAUUAUUUACUAAAUUUCGAUUUUAGAGGAUGGUAUUGGCGGAAUUUUUACUACAUUUUGCGGUCGGAUAAGGAAUAAGCACUAUAAAUGUGGCCCAAAUACUGUAAGUAACAUGACAGUAGAAUAGAGCUGGGUCCCAGCUAUUCUCCGGGGAAAUCAAAGUCAAAAAUCCAAAAAUUAUUAGAGUCAUAAAAUGAUCUCUGAUGAGUUUCAGUGCAAGGCCGAGGUGGAAGGAUUUUCAGCCCAGGUAUUUUUAAGCCUUGAUUUCCCCGCAGAAUAAUAUUAGCCCAGCACUGUUCUACCAUCAUGCUAUUUGCAUUAAGAAAACUUUAUUUCAGGUUCGUUUUAGAAACAAUGUAUGUACCACUAGUUCUCUCAUGCAAAUCGGUGCUUUUAUGGACGAGUCAGUUACAGUCAGACGUAUUUCUAUCAAAUGGACGUAGUUCUACCAAACAGACCUAUGUGGAAGUGAGAAAUAUGGGGUGUGCUCGUUAGUUCUCUUUGCGUAAGAGUGAAUGAGAAUAAUCAAGCGCCAGUGACGUCAGCGGCAAGAAGGAGCCGCCGGGGAUCAUCGUCGGGGCGCUGUAACUCAUGAGCUCUGUCCACAACGCUCUCUUGCCCUGCGCGCGGCUCAUGAGUUCUGCAUUCAGUUGGCACAUAAGUCUCUUUGACAUAUUGCAACAUAAAGCCCAUGUACAACAUUUUGGAAUGAGAAGCUAUCUCUAGCUCCAUCCAUCGAUGUAGCCACCGUUCUUAAACAUCUCCAGUCCUCCAAGGAUAAGUUAGUUAGUUAGUAUAAUUUUAAGAGAUUCAGCGUUCCAGGCUAUUAACGUCUUUGCAGAUAAUUUUGAAAAUGGGAGUAUAAACGAAAAUUUAGAUUUUUAAAUUAAGAGAGGUGAAGGUCCAUCCAUAAAACAAACCGUUAAUGCGCAAAAAAAAAAACUUUCUCUUCAGUUGCCUUCCAUGAGGCGCAUUUUACGCUAUGGGGUGGAAUAAGUUCAAUCCUAUAACUCAAAAGUUUGUGGGCAGAGGAAGUUUCCAUGGUGAAAACCUCAGACCUGUUGCGCGAGGACUGCUAUAUUCCGGGUCUGAAAACUCAUCUCCUGGCUUCUGUAACUUUCCAAGCUUUUUAUCGUAAACAAAACUUCUAAAAUCUGCCUAACAAUGCGGGAAUAGUUUUAAAGUGAGCCUGUAAAUAACAUUGUGGAGCUUAUUUUGGAUAUUGGAGCUUUCAAAAAACAUAUUCCUCCGAUAUCAGAAAACCUUUAAUUUUUAACGAGUUUUAUCCUAUUUCUCGUAAUAAGUCUCUUGACUUAAGUACAUAAAUCCUUUUUAGUUUUUCCUGCAUUUAUUGUUUGCCAAAGUUUGAAAACACUUAUGUCCGUUUACGACGUUUCAGACUACCGAUCACACUUGAUUUUUUCUUCAGAAAAAUAGUCAAUGUAAUCUUUUGAAGUUCCUUGAUUUUUCUUCCUUAUUAGUACAGUAUUCCAUGAAUUUCAAGCCAUAGAGUUAACUUGUUUUCCUUCGAAAAAGUAAAAUAGAAACGGGAAUUUUGAAACGUCGCAAUGGAGAUACAUGGUUUUGCCCUUUUGCCAAAUCUGCCAAAAGGGUUUCUCGAUGAGACAUUCUUCAUGGAGGCUGGAGGGGCGGAGUGGGUUCGAAGGUAGAAAAUUCCUAGAAAUAGAUGGAAAUGGUCUUUUUUUAGAGAAAUUUCACAUAAUGGAGAUCCUAGCCCCCCAAACCGCUUAAACUACCCGUCUACAUACUGAAAACAUAGCCCAACGAUUUUAAAACAGGGUGGUUGUGAAGAUUGACACUACGUAAGGUUAUGUUGUAUUAUUAUUGUCUAUUCGUUGAAAUACUCGUGUCAUCAAAGA